rnacentral:lncRNA from 10 species
AGAACAAAAAUAUAGAAAUCUUGGGUCUAUCUGAACUUUUUCUCCAGAGAAUGAAGAUACUGUCAUUACCUCUGCAAAGAAUGCAUCCUAGCACAGAUCAAAGAUCUUCCAAGUCCAGCCACACCAUUUUACAGUUCUGAACCUCGACUUAGGAAAGCAGUGGAUCUUUAUACAUUUGACACAUCCCUUCCCUCUAGGAUCUCUGUGGCUAUUGAAAAUGGACUGGAGAAGAUGAGUGGGAGUGAGAAGAGGAUAACAGAAUCAGAUAAAAACCUGUCAUGUUACUAAGAGCAGGAGAUGAGGCAGCCUGGACCAAGAUGGUGGCAGAGAGAAGAAAAUUGCUUGAGAGAAUUGAUUAAACUACUUGGUUAGCACAGAUAGAGCUGAAUCAAAAAUUAGGAUGGUAAGCUAAGUAAUUUUACACACAAAAAGGCAGAGUUGCAUUCAUAAUUAGUCUCUCCUUCAGACUGAAUAUUACAGACAAAAUAUAGCCAUUGGUGUUGCAAUCACUUCCUUUGGGUUUGUAUCCAAGGUUAAGAAUGUCAGCAUCCAAAGACCCAAAUUCUUAAUGUUUUUAGUUGAUAAAGUUUAUUCAAGGUAGACAGCCUGUGUUGAAUAACUUAGUCUUCCACAAAUUUCAAGAAAAAUCCAUUGUCCCUCUUCUCCGCCACAGACACACUUUAGUUGAACAUUAAGCAUAUUUAUUAAAGAAACAUUCUCCUUGUGCUUUUUCUCCCAAGAUGGAUGGUGUUCUUACUUAGAGUUAUAAGUGUCAGAAUAAAAA